rnacentral:lncRNA from 1 species
ACACAUACCUGUAGACCAGCACUCAUAGAGGCAUUAUUCAGUAACUGUCAAAAAGCUAUGUGAGUCAGGAUGCACCCAAACCUUGGGCUCCAGCAAUCACCCCAGCCGGGGGCUUCCUGGGUAAUGCACACCACUGUGCCCAGCUGCGACACUUUAUUUUUAAUGAGCAUGUGUAAAGAUGGAGCAGACAUUGAAGGAAUGGCCUAAUGGGAGUCCUGGUCUCACCCAAGUAGAAGGCCUGCUCUUUCCUGAAGAGGAAAUGAAGAAGGAUUAGAUGUGAAGAAGAGAACUUGGCUGGGCGGGGUGUGGUGGGAGGCAUGGUAGAAGUGGAAGAAGAGGAAACUAGCUGGAAUGUAUUGCAUGAAAGAA